AUUGAACGCUGGCGGCAGGCCUAACACAUGCAAGUCGAACGAGUGGCGGACGGGUGAGUAAUGUCUGGGAAACUGCCUGAUGGAGGGGGAUAACUACUGGAAACGGUAGCUAAUACCGCAUACCAUCGGAUGUGCCCAGAUGGGAUUAGCUAGUAGGUGGGGUAAAGGCUCACCAAGGCAACUAUCCCUAGCUGGUCUGAGAGGAUGACCAGCAACACUGAAACUGAGACAAGGUCCAGACGCCUACGGAAGGCAGCAGUGGGGAAUCUUGCGCAAGGGGGGCAAGCCGGAUGCAGCCAUGCCGCGGGAAUGAAGAAGGCCUUCGAGUUGGAAAGUACUUUCAGCAGGGAAGCGUUACCCGCAGAGGAAGCACCGGCUAACUCCGUGCCAGCAGCCGCGGUAAUAC
rnacentral:rRNA from 1 species